rnacentral:rRNA from 1 species
UACGGAGGGUGCGAGCGUUGUCCGGAAUCACUGGGCGUAAAGGGCGCGUAGGCGGCGCGAGCAGUCGAUCGUGAAAGUCCGGAGCUCAACUCCGGAUCGGCGGUCGAUACUCUCGUGCUUGAGCACUGUAGAGGCAGAUGGAAUUCCGGGUGUAGCGGUGGAAUGCGUAGAGAUCCGGAAGAACACCGGUGGCGAAGGCGGUCUGCUGGGCAGUUGCUGACGCUGAUGCGCGACAGCGUGGGGAGCAAACGAGGAUUAGAAACCGUGU